rnacentral:lncRNA from 1 species
CAUUGGUGACAUCAUAAAAUCAGGGAAAGGGAAAUCUGUAAACACUGGCCGUUGAAGAAUACGGUUUCUGAGAAUUUCCACUCUGAAUUCACAUUCCGUUCAGUGUUAUCGCCACCCUGUGGAUUUCUUGGCUACCUCGCUGGCUUUGAGCACAACCCAGGAAGAAGUUUGAAACCAAGAAAAUGGUGGUUGGGAAGACCAGGAUGCGCAAUGGCAAGUGCUGACAACUCUGGAAUACACAGUAGGCACCCAAUACAUACAAGGGAGUAAAUGAAUGAAUUAAAGCUGUCUGUAUCUGCUGAUCAUCCACAAUUUAGACGUCCUAUACUACAUUCCAAUUGAGGGCAAGCGGGGUACGUGUCCUGAAUUUAUAGAAUCUUUUGACACAAAGCAAGAGAGCCACAGUCAAGACUCAAGUCAAAAGAAAUUUAGACCCCAUCUGGGCAAACAGGCCUCUAAGCAACAAUCUAAGAUUUCCACCUAUUGUUCUGGCAUUCCUUGUAUAAAUGAUUAUGACUGCAGAGAUCUUAGGAAGUGCUGUGGUACCUUUAGAUGUGGCCUGAGGUGCAUACAUCCUCUUAUGAUUGGCCCUGUAUUUUUCAAUUCACCUCCACAAUCCAAGGCAUAAAUAUUGGAUGGAGAAAUGGAUUCAGAUGGAGGCAUCAUUGAGCUUAUUCUUGACUCAUCUCAGUCCAAACAUUACUCUGUCAAUCGUUGUUCUUAAAAUCUGCAUAUUAAAAGCUCAGCAUCAACUAUU